ACUAUGUUAAAAAUUGUCACUUUCUAUAUCAUUAGGUUUUUCAGUUAGAUUCAGGUAAAAGGAUCUGACUUGUGAAGUUUCUAUUCAGGUAGUUCCUUUCUUUCUUUCUUAUAUUAUACAUCAAGCAAUUGGAAGGAAGCUGUCUCUAUUCAGUAUUCUCUAUUCCCUAUUCCACAGAGAGCUCCGUUCAGUUACUGUUCUUUGGUUGGCAUGUAAGAUAAUUGGAUCUGGGUUUUCAAUAUUAUCAGUUGGAAAAUAGUGUGUUUCUUUAAUGGAUUCUCUCUGUCCUCGUUGAAGAUUUUGAGCCAACUUUUUCGUCUUGAUCUGGGUUUUCAAUAUUUUCCUCUUUAAUGUUGAGUUUCCUUGUUCUCAGCUCAAAAUCAUCUUUCUAAAGAGAGAAAAAGGCUUUGUAUUAGAGAAAUUUUGAAUCUUUUGUGGGAGGUUCAUGAGUCUCUGAUCCUGGUUAUGAGAAUUUGAGUUUGGGGCUUUUUCCUUUUCUUUUUUUCUUCUGUGGGAGGUCCGUCAAUGGCAAGUGAAGAUUUGAUUGAGCUCAGAUUCAGGCUAGCUGAUGGCUCUGACAUCGGGCCGAGCAAGUACAGUCCAGCUACCACUGUGGCAUCUCUAAAAGGGAAAAUACUUGCACAGUGGCCUAAAGAGAAAGAAAAUGGUCCGAAAACAAUAAACGACGUGAAGCUUAUUAAUGCCGGAAAGAUACUGGAAAAUAACAGGACGCUUGCCGAGUCCAGGGUCCCGGUUGGUGAACUCCCAGGAGGUGUCAUCACUAUGCAUGUUGUUGUUCGGCCUCCUCUUUCUGACAAAAUCAGUGUUUGACUGCAGUCAGGAACAGAAUCGGGAUUUCUCAUGGGGGCCAAAGCAUGGAUGGGGAGGCCAUAUCCCCCUGCCCCCUGGUUCCGUCCCUGACUGCAGCAAAUGAUUCACCUUGGCCGUAAUAACGAUCACGCCGGGGCGGGUACAUUCAUGAUAACGAAUAACAAACUGCACAAUGAUUCUUCAGAGAAGACUUGCUGUUCAUGCUCCAUCUUGUAGCUCCAAGUAAGAAAAAUCAACGGGGCUUCUACAAUUACGUUCGUGUCUCAAUGUGCGUCUGUUAGAUCCUUGCUGAGACGCAGUUCAGAAACUAUCAGUUUGAUUUUAAGCUGGUGGAGAAACAAGAAGCUUGGAGGUUUCUCCCCCAGACAUCAUUUACUUUGAUCUUGUGGUUUCCUUCUGUAAAACCUUGUGGUUCCUUCAUUGCUUGUGAAUGAUAGAAACGAAUAGGGCAAAUCACUGGAUUUGAAGCGUAAUUUAUUAAGAGAGUUUUCUUGGCACAA